rfam:Dipodomys ordii contig_5551, whole genome shotgun sequence.
GGGAAGGUGGCUCAGUGGUAGAGCUCUUGCCUUGCAUGCAUGAGGCCCUGGGUUCGAUUCCUCAAUACUA